rnacentral:rRNA from 1 species
UACGGAGGGUGCAAACGUUGCUCGGAAUCAUUGGGCGUAAAGCGCACGUAGGCGGCUCAGCAAGUCGGGUGUGAAAGCCCUCGGCUCAACCGAGGAAGUGCAUUCGAAACUACUGAGCUUGAAUACUGGAGAGGAUCGCGGAAUUCCCGGUGUAGAGGUGAAAUUCGUAGAUAUCGGGAGGAACACCAGUGGCGAAGGCGGCGAUCUGGGAAGAUACUGACGCUGAGGUGCGAAAGCGUGGGGAGCAAACAGG